CCUGCACCUAGAGGCCUUCCAGGUACUGAUGCUGUGUCACAGGUGCCUCUGUAGAUUGCAGAGAAGAGAAAGGCAAUGUCUAGGCUCAGCAUUCUGACCUAAGAAUAUUUGAAUGAUUAGUAGCCUAACAUU